GCAAGAGAAAGUUGUUUUCCGUUCCUGUUUGCCGCCUAACUGUAAUUGGGAGGCGCUGGGAGGCAGGGGGGGCGUUUCUCCAAGGUCAAGGUUGCCUACGCGAUCAUGUAGGAGGAAGCAAGCGGCCCAACUACACACAACAGGCACUACAUUCCUCGGUGUAUUUUGCACUCUUUUCUUUGCUUCUUAGGCAACAUUU